UUGGUGUUACAAUAUGGGUAAAAAAACACUCUGUGGGGCAUUUCUAAACUAUUGAGAGAAUCCAAAAGCUAUAUAAAAAGUAUAGAUUCUUUUUUUUUUGUACAGCAUCUAUUCUGCUCAUCUAUUACUGAAGCUAAGGCUACUGAGGCUGUCAUUUCAUUAUUUAAAAAGCCCUUCCACCUGUGUCAGAGGUUCCACAAAGAGGCUUCCCAGUAUAAGGGUGCUGGGCUACCUAUACCCUGGCGAGAUGUGAUUAUUUCAGAGAAUGCACUUGUUUUCCUGAAACAAUGGGUUUCUUUUGCUGCUGCUGACUCCUUCCUUCCCUCACAUGCUGCUUAUCUGGGUGAAGAAUCAUGGCUGGAAUUUAUAAAUGCUUCUCUGUUGUGCAAAGGAGCUUUGAUAGCAAGAAAAGAAUAACAGGUAACGUAAUAAGAAAAAGUAUCUGGCUACAGCUUUGGAAAUGUAAAUUCUUUUAUCAGUCCCCCUGCUAAUUAGAAUUUCUGUUUGUUGUUUCACAUUUAGUGGAUUUCAUUAUAGUUUCCUUGGUAAUUAGAUAUUUUAACUAUAAAUGAAAAAUACCAGACCAAAAAAACCCAAAGCAAAACAACAAAACACAACCCCAAAGUACCCACAAAAAAACAUUCAUUAAGAUGCAAAGUUGUAUAUAGAUAUGACU